rnacentral:misc_RNA from 1 species
GCUGCGUCAUGUUAGCCAAAGAGGAAGGAAUUGGUCCAUAGAGAGUGUUAUUGUUUAGCCUCAAGUAUUGAAGGUUUUUUAGGUUGGAUAGAGUACUGGGAAUUUGACCAUUGAAGAAGUUAUUAGAAAGAUCAAGUGUUUUGAGUAUUGAAAGCCUCCCAAGCUCAGAGGGUAAAUGUCCUGUAAUGUUGUUAUUCUGUAGAAGCACAAGCUGGAGAUUUGAUAAGUUUCCUAUGCUUGGUGAAAGAGUUCCAGAUAAACUUUGGCUUGGAGCUCCUAG